rnacentral:tRNA from 1 species
CAUUAGAUAACUUAAAUGCAAGUGUUGGUCUCUUAAACCAAAUUAUAGUAAUAAAAAGCGAAUACUUCUAAUGA